ACACCAGACUCCUACGGGAGGCAGCAGUGGGGAAUAUUGCACAAUGGGGGAAACCCUGAUGCAGCAACGCCGCGUGAGUGAGGAAGUAUUUCGGUAUGUAAAGCUCUAUCAGCAGGGAAUAGAAAAGAAGGUACCUGAAAAAGAAGCACCAGCUAAAUACGUGCCAGCAGCCGCGGUAAUACGUAUGGUGCAAGCGUUAUCCGGAUUUACUGGGUGUAAAGGGAGCGUAGGCGGCGCGUUAAGUCUGAUGUGAAAACCCGAGGCUCAACCACGGGAGUGCAUUGGAAACUGGCGGGCUGGAGUGCCGGAGAGGUAAGCGGAAUUCCUAGUGUAGCGGCGAAAUGCAUAGAUAUUAGGAGGAACACCAGUGGCGAAGGCGGCUUACUGGACGGCAACUGACGCUGAGGCUCGAAAGCGUGGGGAGCAAACAGGAUUAGAUACCCGGGUA
rnacentral:rRNA from 1 species